rnacentral:rRNA from 1 species
AGUUUGAUCCUGGCUCAGAGUGAACGCUGGCGGUAGGCCUAACACAUGCAAGUCGAACGGCAGCACAGGAGAGCUUGCUCUCUGGGUGGCGAGUGGCGGACGGGUGAGGAAUACAUCGGAAUCUACUCUGUCGUGGGGGAUAACGUAGGGAAACUUACGCUAAUACCGCAUACGACCUACGGGUGAAAGCAGGGGACCUUCGGGCCUUGCGCGAUUGAAUGAGCCGAUGUCGGAUUAGCUAGUUGGCGGGGUAAAGGCCCACCAAGGCGACGAUCCGUAGCUGGUCUGAGAGGAUGAUCAGCCACACUGGAACUGAGACACGGUCCAGACUCCUACGGGAGGCAGCAGUGGGGAAUAUUGGACAAUGGGCGCAAGCCUGAUCCAGCCAUACCGCGUGGGUGAAGAAGGCCUUCGGGUUGUAAAGCCCUUUUGUUGGGAAAGAAAUCCAGCUGGCUAAUACCCGGUUGGGAUGACGGUACCCAAAGAAUAAGCACCGGCUAACUUCGUGCCAGCAGCCGCGGUAAUACGAAGGGUGCAAGCGUUACUCGGAAUUACUGGGCGUAAAGCGUGCGUAGGUGGUCGUUUAAGUCCGUUGUGAAAGCCCUGGGCUCAACCUGGGAACUGCAGUGGAUACUGGGCGACUAGAAUGUGGUAGAGGGUAGCGGAAUUCCUGGUGUAGCAGUGAAAUGCGUAGAGAUCAGGAGGAACAUCCAUGGCGAA